rnacentral:rRNA from 1 species
GACAAAGAUAGUCGUCACACUGCACAGCUGCAGUAGAUUUUAAGGGCCGCGGUAUUUUGACCGUGCGAAGGUAGCGUAGUCAUUAGUUUUUUAAUUGGAAUCUUGUAUGAAUGGUUAGACAAAAGAAAAUCUGUCUCUUUAUUAAAAAUUGAAUUUAACUUUUAAGUGAAAAGGCUUAAAUAAAUUAAAAAGACGAUAAGACCCUAUAAAGCUUAAUAUUAAAAUGUUACUUAAUUAAAUUAAAAUAUAAAAAUUUCGUGAUGUAAUUUAUUUUAUUGGGGUGAUAAAAGUAAAAUGAUUGUUAACUGCUUUAUAAAAAAACAUUUUUAAGUGAAAAAAUUUAAAGAUCCUUAUUAAAGAUUUAAAGUUUAAGUUACUUUAGGGAUAACAGCGUUAUUUUUUUUGAGAGUUCAUAUCGAAAAAAGAGUUUGCGACCUCGAUGUUGAAUUAAAAUUUCUUUAUAGAAGCAGAAACUAUAAAAGUUGGUCUGUUCGACCUUUAAAAUUUUACGUGAUCCUGAGUUCAGAACCGGGGGAAGUUUUUUGAUGGAGGGGGGGGGG